rnacentral:rRNA from 1 species
AACGAACGCUGGCGGCGUGCUUAACACAUGCAAGUCGAACGCGAAAGGGACUUCGGUCCUGAGUAGAGUGGCGCACGGGUGAGUAACGCGUAAGUGAUCUACCCCUGUAUUUGGGAUAACUAUGGGAAACUGUAGCUAAUACCGGAUACGUUCAUGUAGUUGCGAUUAUGUGAAGAAAGAUGGCCUCUGAUUCAAGCUAUUGUACAGGGAGGAGCUUGCGUACCAUUAGCUAGUUGGUAGGGUAAUGGCCUACCAAGGCAACGAUGGUUAGCGGGUCUGAGAGGAUGAUCCGCCACACUGGAACUGAAACACGGACCAGACUCCUACGGGAGGCAGCAGUGAGGAAUAUUGCGCAAUGGGGGCAACCCUGACGCAGCGACGCCGCGUGGAUGAUGAAGGCCUUCGGGUCGUAAAAUCCUGUCAGAUGGGAAGAAGUGCGAGGUGGUUAAUACCCAUUUCGUUUGACGGUACCAUCAGAGGAAGCACCGGCUAACUCCGUGCCAGCCGCCGCAGUAAAAC